GGAGCCUUGGCUGCGAAGUGGUUAAGAGCUUGGCUCCUAACCAAAAGAUUGGCAAUUUGAAUCUGCCAGGCACUU
rnacentral:tRNA from 1 species